CACGAAGCUGGAAUCGCUAGUAAUCGCGGAUCAGCAUGCCGCGGUGAAUACGUUCCCGGGCCUUGUACACACCGCCCGUCACACCAUGGGAGCCGGUAAUACCCGAAGUCAGUAGUCCAACCACGUGAGGACGCUGCCGAAGGUAGGAUUGGCGACUGGGGUGAAGUCGUAACAAGGUAUC
rnacentral:rRNA from 1 species